rnacentral:ncRNA from 1 species
GGGGACCUUCGGGGCCCUUUACCAUCAGGGCCGCGCAGGCGGUCCGCACAAGCAAACGGAAGACAGUAA